CGCAAGGCGUAGGCGAUGGAUAACAGGUUGAGAUUCCUGUACUAGUUGAUGAUGUUUGAGCGAUGGAGGGACGCAGGAGGCUAAGUUGUGCAUCCAGUUGGAAAGGGAUGUUCAAGCCACGAGUCAGUCAAAGAGUCAAAUGCUUUUUGGCGGGUUGACAAGUGGUGAUGAGGACCGAAAUUUAAGUAGGGAAGCAACCGACGUCACACUGCCGAGAAAAGCUUCUAGUGAGUCAUCAACUACCCGUACCGCAAACCGACACAGGUAGUCGAGGAGAGAAUCCUCAGGUGAGCGAGUGAACUCUCGUUAAGGAACUCGGCAAAAUGACCCCGUAACUUCGGGAGAAGGGGUGCUGUGCGCAAGCACAGCCGCAGUGAAAAGGCCCAGGCGACUGUUUAUCAAAAACACAGGUUUCUGCAAAAUCGUAAGAUGACGUAUAGGGGCUGACGCCUGCCCGGUGCUGGAAGGUUAAGUGGAUGAGUUAGCUUCGGCGAAGCCCAGAAAUGAAGCCCCAGUAAACGGCGGCCGUAACUAUAACGGUCCUAAGGUAGCGAAAUUCCUUGUCGGGUAAGUUCCGACCCGCACGAAAGGCGUAACGAUCUGGGCACUGUCUCAACGAGAGACUCGGUGAAAUUAAGAUACCUGUGAAGAAGCAGGUUACCCGCGACAGGACGGAAAGACCCCAUGGAGCUUUACUGUAGCUUGAUAUUGGGUGUUGACACAGCUUGUACAGGAUAGGUAGGAGCCAUUGAAGCCGGAACGCUAGUUUCGGCAGAGGCGUUGGUGGGAUACUACCCUCGCUGUGUGAACACUCUAACCCGCGCCACUCAGCGUGGCGGGAGACAGUGUCAGGUAGGCAGUUUGACUGGGGCGGUCGCCUCCCAAACAGUAACGGAGGCGCCCAAAGGUUCCCUCAGAAUGGUUGGAAAUCAUUCAACGAGUGUAAAGGCAGAAGGGAGCUUGACUGCGAGACAGACAGGUCGAGCAGGGACGAAAGUCGGGCUUAGUGAUCCGGUGGUACCGUAUGGAAGGGCCAUCGCUCAACGGAUAAAAGCUACCCUGGGGAUAACAGGCUUAUCUCCCCCAAGAGUCCACAUCGACGGGGAGGUUUGGCACCUCGAUGUCGGCUCAUCGCAUCCUGGGGCUGUAGUCGGUCCCAAGGGUUGGGCUGUUCGCCCAUUAAAGCGGUACGCGAGCUGGGUUCAGAACGUCGUGAGACAGUUCGGUCCCUAUCCGUCGCGGGCGUAGGAAAUUUGAGAGGAGCUGUCCUUAGUACGAGAGGACCGGGAUGGACAUACCGCUGGUGUACCAGUUGCGCCGCCAGGCGCACCGCUGGGUAGCUACGUAUGGAUGAGAUAAACGCUGAAAGCAUCUAAGUGUGAAACUUACCUCAAGAUGAGAUUUCCCAUUCCUAUAUGGAAGUAAGACCCCUGAGAGAUGAUCAGGUAGAUAGGUUGGAAGUGGAAGUGCAGUGAUGUACGGAGCGGACCAAUACUAAUCGGUCGAGGACUUAACCAAG
rnacentral:rRNA from 1 species